rnacentral:ncRNA from 2 species
UUAGAUCAUGGCAUCUCAGGUGCCGCUUGGUGACGACGAAGCGGAGAAUUGGGAAGCCGGUCAAAACCCGGCGCUGCCCCCGCAACGGUGGUGGAGUUCAAGUCGCAACGGGAGACCACUGGGCCAGAAGCCUGGGAAGGUGUCGCGACCGUCCGCAAGGACACUCCAGAGCCCGGAAACCAGCCCGAGAUUUCUAGACUCG